AUAUGACUUGAUUCUGAAAUAAUAAAAAAACACCGCACGACACAAUCAGCAAAAUAUACAUGCUCGGAAAACAUCAUGAAGAGUGAUAUACCGUUCCUCUUAGAAGCAAUUUGAUCAGAUGAUAUAUGUCUUCAUCUUGUAUACUCUAGGGAUUUAUGAGAUUGAUCACCGUUCCUAAUCUUUAGUUUUUCAUAACUCUACCAGGAAGAUAUGAGUUCAUUUUUCGUAGUGAUCAGUAAAGGACUAAGACCAUGUUUAUCAAAAUUCGGCCUAACGUCCAAAGUGAAUAUUUUUUUGUUAGAAAUAUUCUCUAACAUGUUCUUUUCCUAUAAUGAACUGGUUUUUAUAUGUAGAGUUCGUGAAAGAACACUAUUUUAAGGUUUACAUUACUAGUAUAAAUCCUAUAAUUUGCUCUACUUUUUAAGAUUGCGUCAUACAACGUCGCUAUAUAUUAUUAGAAGUGGUAACGUAUUGUAAAACAUAAUUAUGCAAUUAGUGGUUUAAUAUAUAAUAAGAUCUUGAAAAAGAAAUUUUCUUUCCCAAUACGCAAUAAGGUUAUUUUACUUAUAGUCCGAAUGGCACACCAUAUUUUUCAAUCCUUCAUUCGGCCAUUUUCACACGCCGCGCCGUUAGCCUGUUUGAGCUGUUCGUGGAAGUUGCAGAGGAUGUACUCAUCGCAUUUCAACGAUGAUAUAAUAUGUACAGCAAAAAUUGAUGACAAGGGUGACAUGAAUCAGAUUGACAAGAAUCCAUAUUCCUACUCCUCAAUAAUGCUAUCAUCACUGCCAUCAGAUUCAUCAAUGAUAGUGGCAUCAGUGACACAUGAGGAUAAGUGUUGGACAUCACUGCAGGAAUAGCUUCCUUGUUGUGUCUGCCAAUAGCAAGGUACCAGAUUAUACAGCAGUUAUGUGGAAACAGAUUCCCACAAUAGGGGGACCAGAUUGACACCUACAUUGUACAGUAUCAGGCAGUUAUAUCAAAACUGGAAAAACUGGAUCCAAACAAGACUAUAUUGCUUGGAAGAAACAUGUCGACUCUGAAGUUUAACCCUUAUUAACCCAUGGCACUUCCAGAGACAUCCUGAUACCAUGGUUCUAUGUCAUUUGAAAUAUACCUGUGGAGGUUUUUAAAGUGUUUUUUUUUGGGGGGGGUGUUAUUAAUUGGAAGAAUUCAUAUUUGAUGAUUCAAAUGAAAAUCUGCAUGUUGAAUUAUGAAUGUCAUAAUGUACUUUUUGAAUGAGUUCAAGAAUGGUUGUCCUGAUGAAAAGUGUAGAGUCAAAAGUUAUCAAAUUGUCAAAAACACUGGUCAGGUCUGAAUUCAUCAUCUUGGACACCUUGCAGUUGGAAUUAUGAUCUUUAUGAAGAAAUGCUGAAAAUCUUGCAAAAGAGGAAAUGACAAGUUGGGGUCCAAGGCACUUGCAUAUAUGCAUGAGAAGGUGUUCUAUCCAGGCUUGAGGUCAAUUACAUAGUAAUGUAACGCCUUACAUUACCUAGAAAAUUUCGCAUUACCAUUACUCCUAUUUUAAAAUAUAAUGUAUUACAUUACUUGAGAGUGAAUUUACAUUACACAUUUACAUAACAUACUGUCAGAUAUUAAAGAAAUGGCAGAAAAAUUAUUUCUGUAUUAUGAUUUUUAAUUAUACAUUAACAUAUGUACACAAAAUAUUCAGCAAUGUUAGGAAACAUAUCUAUUAAGUUAUUCAUUGCAUUUGAUUGUCAUCAAUGUUUCAAAUGCUUCAGUCAAUUACUAAUAAAAUGAAUUAUUCUAAAUCUUCAAAAUAUCAUCAAAUAUUUGAAGUAGUGUAAAUGUAAUGAAAAAUAAUGUGCAGUACAGUAUGCAUUACAUUACCAUUACUUGUAAUGCAAAAAUGGUCCAUUACACCCCCAUUACAUUGAAUUGGCUGUCAUUUAAUUACCAUUACCCCAGCCCUGGUUCUGUCGAGAGGUAUUGAAAUUGUCUGUAGAGACUUUGUCUCAGGAAGUGGCCGAGACUGGUGGUGACAAUUUUGUUGGAUGUGAAUUUACUGAUACACAUGUCUACACUUGCUACACAAUAUAGCAUGUGGUGGUUUCAACAAGAAAGUUCUUACUCUGCAGGAAAUGACGAAUAGCUAAUGGAUUCACAUUUUUUCUGACUUUUCUUCUGUACAUUAAAUGCAUUGGAAAAACUUUCCUUUCCAUUAUCUUUUGCUGGUUCAUACUUUGAAAUAAAAUCAAGUCCGAAAAUAAA